GCGGUGGAGCAUGUGGUUUAAUUCGAAGCAACGCGAAGAACCUUACCAGGUCUUGACAUCCCCUGACAACCCAAGAGAUUGGGCGUUCCCCUUCGGGGGACAGGGUGACAGGUGGUGCAUGGUUGUCGUCAGCUCGUGUCGUGAGAUGUUGGGUUAAGUCCCGCAACGAGCGCAACCCUCGCCUCUAGUUGCCAGCAUUCGGUUGGGCACUCUAGAGGGACUGCCGGCGACAAGUCGGAGGAAGUGGGGAUGACGUCAAAUCAUCAUGCCCCUUAUGACCUGGGCUACACACGUGCUACAAUGGGCGGUACAAAGGGCUGCGAACCCGCGAGGGGGAGCGAAUCCCAAAAAACCGCUCUCAGUUCGGAUUGCAGGCUGCAACUCGCCUGCAUGAAGCCGGAAUCGCUAGUAAUCGCGGAUCAGCAUGCCGCGGUGAAUACGUUCCCGGGCCUU
rnacentral:rRNA from 1 species